rnacentral:rRNA from 1 species
GAUAAACGCUGGCGGCGUGCCUAAUACAUGCAAGUCGAGCGAACAGACGAGGAGCUUGCUCCUCUGAUGUUAGCGGCGGACGGGUGAGUAACACGUGGAUAACCUACCUAUAAGACUGGGAUAACUUCGGGAAACCGGAGCUAAUACCGGAUAACAUGUUGAACCGCAUGGUUCAACAGUGAAAGACGGUCUUGCUGUCACUUAUAGAUGGAUCCGCGCCGCAUUAGCUAGUUGGUAAGGUAACGGCUUACCAAGGCAACGAUGCGUAGCCGACCUGAGAGGGUGAUCGGCCACACUGGAACUGAGACACGGUCCAGACUCCUACGGGAGGCAGCAGUAGGGAAUCUUCCGCAAUGGGCGGAAGCCUGACGGAGCAACGCCGCGUGAGUGAAGAAGGUCUUCGGAUCGUAAAACUCUGUUAUUAGGGAAGAACAAAUGUGUAAGUAACUAUGCACGUCUUGACGGUACCUAAUCAGAAAGCCACGGCUAACUACGUG